GACGAACGCCGGCGGCGUGCCUAAUACAUGCAAGUCGAACGCACGAAGUUGAAGAGCUUGCUCUUUAACCAAGUGAGUGGCGGACGGGUGAGUAACACGUGGGUAACCUGCCCAUUAGAGGGGGAUAACAUUCGGAAACGGAUGCUAAUACCGCAUAGUUUCAGGAAUCGCAUGAUUCUUGAAGGAAAGGUGGCUUCGGCUACCACUAAUGGAUGGACCCGCGGCGUAUUAGCUAGUUGGUGAGGUAAUGGCUCACCAAGGCAAUGAUACGUAGCCGACCUGAGAGGGUGAUCGGCCACACUGGGACUGAGACACGGCCCAGACUCCUACGGGAGGCAGCAGUAGGGAAUCUUCCGCAAUGGACGAAAGUCUGACGGAGCAACGCCGCGUGAGUGAAGAAGGUUUUCGGAUCGUAAAACUCUGUUGUUAAAGAAGAACAAGGAUGAGAGUAACUGCUCAUCCCCUGACGGUAUUUAACCAGAAAGCCACGGCUAACUACGUGCCAGCAGCCGCGGUAAUACGUAGGUGGCAAGCGUUGUCCGGAUUUAUUGGGCGUAAAGCGAGCGCAGGCGGUUCUUUAAGUCUGAUGUGAAAGCCCCCGGCUCAACCGGGGAGGGUCAUUGGAAACUGGAGAACUUGAGUGCAGAAGAGGAGAGUGGAAUUCCACGUGUAGCGGUGAAAUGCGUAGAUAUGUGGAGGAACACCAGUGGCGAAGGCGACUCUCUGGUCUGUAACUGACGCUGAGGCUCGAAAAGCGUGGGGAGCAAACAGG
rnacentral:rRNA from 1 species